GCCCGGCUAGUUAAGUCGGUAGAGCGCAGGACUCUUAAUCCUGCGGUCGUGGGUUCGAAACCCACGUUGGGCG
rnacentral:tRNA from 1 species